rnacentral:rRNA from 1 species
UACGAAGGGUGCAAGCGUUACUCGGAAUUACUGGGCGUAAAGCGUGCGUAGGUGGUUUUUUAAGUCCGUUGUGAAAGCCCUGGGCUCAACCUGGGAAUGGCAGUGGAUACUGGAAAGCUAGAGUGCGGUAGAGGGUAGUGGAAUUCCCGGUGUAGCAGUGAAAUGCGUAGAGAUCGGGAGGAACACCAGUGGCGAAGGCGGCUACCUGGACCAGCACUGACACUGAGGCACGAAAGCGUGGGGAGCGAUCCGG